AACUGGCUGGAGGCCUAACACAUGCAAGUCGAGCGCGCCUUUCGGGGUGAGCGGCGGACGGGAUAGUAACGCGUGGGAAUAUGCCCUUUGGUACGGAAUAGCCUCUGGAAACGGAGAGUAAUACCGUAUGAGCCCUUCGGGGGAAAGAUUUAUCGCCAAAGGAUUAGCCCGCGUUAGAUUAGGUAGUUGGUGGGGUAAUGGCCUACCAAGCCUACGAUCUAUAGCUGGUUUUAGAGGAUGAUCAGCAACACUGGGACUGAGACACGGCCCAGACUCCUACGGGAGGCAGCAGUGGGGAAUCUUGGACAAUGGGGGCAACCCUGAUCCAGCCAUGCCGCGUGAGUGAUGAAGGCCUUAGGGUCGUAAAGCUCUUUCGCCUGUGAAGAUAAUGACGGUAGCAGGUAAAGAAACCCCGGCUAACUCCGUGCCAGCAGCCGCGGUAAUACGGAGGGGGUUAGCGUUGUUCGGAAUUACUGGGCGUAAAGCGCACGUAGGCGGACCAGAAAGUUGGGGGUGAAAUCCCGGGGCUCAACCCCGGAACUGCCUCCAAAACUAUUGGUCUAGAGUUCGAGAGAGGUGAGUGGAAUUCCAAGUGUAGAGGUGAAAUUCGUAGAUAUUUGGAGGAACACCAGUGGCGAAGGCGGCUCACUGGCUCGAUACUGACGCUGAGGUGCGAAAGUGUGGGGAGCAAACAGGAUUAGAUACCCUGGUAGUCCACACCGUAAACGAUGAAUGCCAGUCGUCGGGUAGCAUGCUAUUCGGUGACACACCUAACGGAUUAGGCAUUCCGCCUGGGGAGUACGGUCGCAAGAUUAAAACUCAAAUGAAUUGACGG
rnacentral:rRNA from 1 species